rnacentral:rRNA from 1 species
GAUGAACGCUGGCGGCGUGCCUAAUACAUGCAAGUCGAGCGAACAGACGAGGAGCUUGCUCCUCUGACGUUAGCGGCGGACGGGUGAGUAACACGUGGAUAACCUACCUAUAAGACUGGGAUAACUUCGGGAAACCGGAGCUAAUACCGGAUAAUAUAUUGAACCGCAUGGUUCAAUAGUGAAAGACGGUUUUGCUGUCACUUAUAGAUGGAUCCGCGCCGCAUUAGCUAGUUGGUAAGGUAACGGCUUACCAAGGCAACGAUGCGUAGCCGACCUGAGAGGGUGAUCGGCCACACUGGAACUGAGACACGGUCCAGACUCCUGCGAGAGGCAGCAGUAGGGAAUCUUCCGCAAUGGGCGAAAGCCUGACGGAGCAACGCCGCGUGAGUGAUGAAGGUCUUCGGAUCGUAAAACUCUGUUAUUAGGGAAGAACAAAUGUGUAAGUAACUAUGCACGUCUUGACGGUACCUAAUCAGAAAGCCACGGCUAACUACGUG